rnacentral:rRNA from 1 species
GACGAACGUUGGCGGCGUGCUUAAUACAUGCAAGUCAACUGAAGCACCGGUAGCAAUACUGGUGUGGAGGUGGCGCACGGGUGAGUAACACGUAGGUAAUCUGCCUUCAGGUCUGACAUAACUCCGGGAAACCGAAGCUAAUAUCAGAUGAUGCAGCGGCUUGACAUCAAGACAGUUGUUAAAGCUUCGGCGCCUGAAGAUGAGCCUGCGCUGAUUAGCUAGUUGGCGGGGUAACGGCCCACCAAGGCAACGAUCAGUAGCUGGUCUGAGAGGAUGAUCAGCCACACUGGAACUGAGACACGGUCCAGACUCCUACGGG